UACGUAGGGGCCUAGCGUUGUCCGGAUUUAUUGGGCGUAAAGCGCGUGUAGGCGGCUUUCUAAGUCUGGUGUGAAAGCCCGGGGCUCAACCCCGGAAGUGCACUGGAUACUGGAAAGCUAGAGGGCGAGAGAGGAGAUUGGAAUUCAUGGUGUAGGGGUGAAAUCCGUAGAUAUCAUGAGGAACAUCUGUGGCGAAGGCGAAUCUCUGGCUCGUUUCUGACGCUGAGACACGAAAGCGUGGGGAGCAAACAGG
rnacentral:rRNA from 1 species